UCUAGGGUCAUUCUUUGUGGACAAGUGAUUGUGGCAGUGAGAUAAGACGUGCCCUUUUAUCCCCUACACGUACGCCAUCCUUUCUAUUUCAAUUUCACUCCAAUGGGUUGUUGUUGCGACGAAGACGACGGUGACAUUUUCCGGCAACUCAUCAAUUCCAAUUUCUCUUCCUCAUCCUCCUCCACCGCCACCGCCACCGCCACUGCCACCACAGUGAUCUCCCCCAUGAAUUCCCAUUUCUCGGCACUCUCCUCCACCGACAUCCUCCGCCUCAUCUUCCAGAACCUUCCGAUACCCGAUCUCGCCCGUGCCAGCUGCGUCUGCCGUCUCUGGAACUCCGUCGCCUCCCAGAGGGAGAUGCUCACAAGAGCCUUCGUUGCCCCUUGGAAAUUGAACCACGUUAUCGGCGACCCGCUCUCUGGAAGCUUCUGGAGAGACAAUUCCCUCGCCAAAUUCGCCAUCUCCCAUCGCAUUUCCCGCGGCGACACCGUCGCUAGCCUCGCCGUCAAGUACGCUGUUCAGGUAAUGGACAUAAAGCGCCUGAACAACAUGAUAAGCGACCAUGGCAUAUACUCAAGGGAAAGGUUAUUAAUCCCUAUUAGUAAUCCUGAUAUUCUGAUUAGCAGAACAUGCUUUAUUGAGCUGGAUGUGUAUGCAAAACGAGAAGUAGCAGUGCUGUAUCCUAAUGAUGUACCAGACACGAGGACUACCUAUGUGUCAAACAGAAUUUCCUCAGAAGAAAGCAACAAAAAGGUGGUUGAUUCCUUGAAGAGAAGCAUGCAUGUUGAUAAUGAAACAGCUCAAUAUUACUGGUCUGUUUCAAAUGGUGAUCCACGAGCGGCAUUUGCUGAAUUUUCUGCAGACCUUAACUGGGGUAGGCAAGCAGGGCAUUAAUAGUCUUUCUUAAGGUUACCUUGUUAUUUGAGAGGUUGGUGGCAAGUGGAAAACAAGUUUUUUAAGAGGUUGCUUGGCAGUCAAAUAGAUAAAUAAUUAAGAGACUGUGCUGCAGUUAAUGUCUUUAUGAAUUACUGCCUUUUCCUAGCCUUGUGCUGUCAGUUGCCAGAACCUUUGAAUGGAGAAUGGUGAAUCGGUGGUACUGUUAACUUGUACCCUCCAAUAGCAAAAUGAUGAUUUGAUUGAUUUCAAGUCAGCCACCUGCUAUUAUAGUACGACUGGAACCCCGGAUUGUCCAUGAGAUGAACAUGAUCUCAGGCAACUUGACUCGAUGUGAUUAGAAAGCUUCCAUCUUUCUUGAUUGAUCGACUGUGAAAAUGUUGGAACUUCUGAAAGUAUUCAUGCUAUUGAUUUUGCAAUUUUAAUGGGAUUGAGAGAUAUGGCAGCAAGCGGCAAGGGAAAUGGUGUAACUUGAAACAGUUUGACAUUAAUCUUUGAAUGAUUUAGAGCAUGCAGUGUACAUCUUAGUUUUAUUUCUUGAAAGUUAAAAAAAAUAAAAUUGAAGGGCUUUA